rnacentral:rRNA from 1 species
CUGAAUAUGGGGGGACCAUCCUCCAAGGCUAAAUACUCCUGACUGACCGAUAGUGAACCAGUACCGUGAGGGAAAGGCGAAAAGAACCCCGGCGAGGGGAGUGAAAAAGAACCUGAAACCGUGUACGUACAAGCAGUGGGAGCACGCUUAGGCGUGUGACUGCGUACCUUUUGUAUAAUGGGUCAGCGACUUAUAUUCUGUAGCAAGGUUAACCGAAUAGGGGAGCCGAAGGGAAACCGAGUCUUAACUGGGCGUUAAGUUGCAGGGUAUAGACCCGAAACCCGGUGAUCUAGCCAUGGGCAGGUUGAAGGUUGGGUAACACUAACUGGAGGACCGAACCGACUAAUGUUGAAAAAUUAGCGGAUGACUUGUGGCUGGGGGUGAAAGGCCAAUCAAACCGGGAGAUAGCUGGUUCUCCCCGAAAGCUAUUUAGGUAGCGCCUCGUGAAUUCAUCUCCGGGGGUAGAGCACUGUUUCGGCAAGGGGGUCAUCCCGACUUACCAACCCGAUGCAAACUGCGAAUACCGGAGAAUGUUAUCACGGGAGACACACGGCGGGUGCUAACGUCCGUCGUGAAGAGGGAAACAACCCAGACCGCCAGCUAAGGUCCCAAAGUCAUGGUUAAGUGGGAAACGAUGUGGGAAGGCCCAGACAGCCAGGAUGUUGGCUUAGAAGCAGCCAUCAUUUAAAGAAAGCGUAAUAGCUCACUGGUCGAGUCGGCCUGCGCGGAAGAUGUAACGGGGCUAAACCAUGCACCGAAGCUGCGGCAGCGACGCUUAUGCGUUGUUGGGUAGGGGAGCGUUCUGUAAGCCUGUGAAGGUGUGCUGUGAGGCAUGCUGGAGGUAUCAGAAGUGCGAAUGCUGACAUAAGUAACGAUAAAGCGGGUGAAAAGCCCGCUCGCCGGAAGACCAAGGGUUCCUGUCCAACGUUAAUCGGGGCAGGGUGAGUCGACCCCUAAGGCGAGGCCGAAAGGCGUAGUCGAUGGGAAACAGGUUAAUAUUCCUGUACUUGGUGUUACUGCGAAGGGGGGACGGAGAAGGCUAUGUUGGCCGGGCGACGGUUGUCCCGGUUUAAGCGUGUAGGCUGGUUUUCCAGGCAAAUCCGGAAAAUCAAGGCUGAGGCGUGAUGACGAGGCACUACGGUGCUGAAGCAACAAAUGCCCUGCUUCCAGGAAAAGCCUCUAAGCAUCAGGUAACAUCAAAUCGUACCCCAAACCGACACAGGUGGUCAGGUAGAGAAUACCAAGGCGCUUGAGAGAACUCGGGUGAAGGAACUAGGCAAAAUGGUGCCGUAACUUCGGGAGAAGGCACGCUGAUAUGUAGGUGAAGUCCCUCGCGGAUGGAGCUGAAAUCAGUCGAAGAUACCAGCUGGCUGCAACUGUUUAUUAAAAACACAGCACUGUGCAAACACGAAAGUGGACGUAUACGGUGUGACGCCUGCCCGGUGCCGGAAGGUUAAUUGAUGGGGUCAGCGCAAGCGAAGCUCUUGAUCGAAGCCCCGGUAAACGGCGGCCGUAACUAUAACGGUCCUAAGGUAGCGAAAUUCCUUGUCGGGUAAGUUCCGACCUGCACGAAUGGCGUAAUGAUGGCCAGGCUGUCUCCACCCGAGACUCAGUGAAAUUGAACUCGCUGUGAAGAUGCAGUGUACCCGCGGCAAGACGGAAAGACCCCGUGAACCUUUACUAUAGCUUGACACUGAACAUUGAGCCUUGAUG